AGCGAACGCUGGCGGCAGGCCUAACACAUGCAAGUCGAACGAACCUUUCGGGGUUAGUGGCGGACGGGUGAGUAACACGUGGGAACGUGCCUUUAGGUUCGGAAUAACUCAGGGAAACGUGUGCUAAUACCGAAUGUGCCCGUCAGAGGAAAGAUUUAUCGCCUUUAGAUCGGCCCGCGUCUGAUUAGCUAGUUGGUUGAGGUAAUGGCUCACCAAGGCGACGAUCAGUAGCUGGUCUGAGAGGAUGAUCAGCCACAUUGGGACUGAGACACGGCCCAAACUCCUACGGGAAGCAGCAGUGGGGAAUAUUGCGCAAUGGGCGAAAGCCUGACGCAGCCAUGCCGCGUGAAUGAUGAAGGCCUUAGGAUUGUAAAAUUCUUUCACCGGGGACGAUAAUGACGGUACCUGGAGAAGAAGCCCCGGCUAACUCCGUG
rnacentral:rRNA from 1 species